rnacentral:lncRNA from 10 species
ACCUCGCUAUUCAGACCUGCACAUCAGUCAGACGCUCCCCAAAACCAACAAAAUCAACAAGGACCACAUCCCUGUCCCUUACCAGCCAGACUCCAGCAGCAACCCCUCCUCCACGACGUCCUCCACGCCCUCCUCGCCAGCACCCCCCCUCCCUCCUAGUGCCACGCCGCCUUCUCCCCUACACCCUUCCCCACAGUGCACACGGCAGCAGAAGAACUUCAACCUGCCAGGUACCUCCAUGCUUGGGGAGACAUGAGGGGUGCAGCGUUGGAGGGGCAGAGAUUAGGGAGGGGGUGGGUUCAUGCCAGAGCCCUGAUGCAGCAAGUCUCUGCAGGAAAGCGAAUGGGUCAAUGACCAGAGAGGGGCAAGGAAGUAUGUGGACUGACCCUUAUCGUACCCUAAGCAAUUACCCUUAUAUCACUUAUUUAAUCUUUGGAACAGCCACAAGGUAAGCAUUAUCAGCUCAUUUUACAGAUG